rnacentral:RNase_P_RNA from 1 species
CAGUCGGAUAGCUGCGCCGUGAAAACGGUGAGGAAAGUCCGGGCUUCAAGGAAACAGGAUACCAGAUAACGUCUGGCUGGGGUGACCCACGGGAAAGUGCCACAGAAAAUUACCGCCGGAAUAGAUUUCCGGUAAGGUUGAAAAGGCGGUUUAAGAGACCACCGCGAGGCUGGCAACAGUCUCGGCUAGGUAAACCCUAUCCGAUGCAAGACCAAGUUAGGAGAGCUUUAAGUUUCUUAAAGUUACGAAGGGGAGUUUCCAACCCGCUCCAGAGGUAGGUCGCGACGAGCGUAAAGGCAACUUUGCGCCCAGAUGAAUAGCUAUCGUUUCAAAUCUUGCCUUGCGCAAGCAAAUGAAAUACAGAACCCGGCUUAUAGACUGUCUGC